AGUGGCGGACGGGUGAGUAACGCGUGGGCAACCUGCCCUGUACCGGGGGACAACAGCCAGAAAUGGCUGCUAAUACCGCAUAAGCCUGCUGUGCCGCAUGGCACAGCAGGGAAAACCACGGUGGUACAGGAUGGGCCCGCGUCUGAUUAGUUAGUUGGCAGGGUAACGGCCUACCAAGACAACGAUCAGUAGCCGGCUUGAGAGAGUGGACGGCCACAUUGGGACUGGGACACGGCCCAGACUCCUGCGGGAGGCAGCAGUGGGGAAUAUUGCACAAUGGGGGGAACCCUGAUGCAGCAAUGCCGCGUGGGUGAAGAAGCACUCCGGUGCGUAAAGCCCUGUCAGCAGGGAAGAAAAUGACAGUACCUGGACAAGAAGCCCCGGCUAACUACGUGCCAGCAGCCGCGGUAAUACGUAGGGGGCAAGCGUUAUCCGGAUUUACUGGGUGUAAAGGGAGCGCAGGCGGCGUGGCAAGUCANAUGUGAAAACCCGGGGCCCAACCCCGGGAGUGCAUUUGAAACUGCCAUGCUGGAGUGCCGGAGAGGUAAGCGGAAUUCCUAGUGUAGCGGUGAAAUGCGUAGAUAUUAGGAGGAACACCAGUGGCGGAGGCGGCUUACUGGACGGUAACUGACGCUGAGGCUCGAAAGCGUGGGGAGCAAACAGGAUUAGAUACCCUGGUA
rnacentral:rRNA from 1 species